GCCGAAGUGAUGGAAUGGUAGACAUGAGGGAUUCAAAAUCCCUUGCCGAAAGGCGUAAGAGUUCGAGUCUCUUCUUCGGUACCA
rnacentral:tRNA from 3 species